CACGGGGGGAGCAAGCGUUGUUCGGAAUCACUGGGCGUAAAGGGCGUGUAGGCGGUCAGAUAAGUGGGGUGUGAAAGCCCCCGGCUCACCCGGGGAUCUGCAUUCCAAACUGUCUGGCUUGAGUACGGGAGAGGAUGAGGGAAUUCCUGGUGUAGCGGUGAAAUGCGUAGAUAUCAGGAGGAACACCGGUGGCGAAGGCGCUCAUCUGGCCCGAUACUGACGCUGAGGCGCGAAAGCUAGGGGAGCAAACGGG
rnacentral:rRNA from 1 species